UUAUACUAAAUAUACAUGCAAUGAAACUGGAAUGAUGCAGAGAAGAUUAGCAUGGUCCCUAAGAAAGGAUGAUAAGUUCAUGGCACAGUCCAUACUUUA
ensembl:snRNA U6 U6 spliceosomal RNA